GGAUGUGAGGGCAAUCUGGCUGUGACAUCUGUCACUCCAUUGAUUGCCAGGGUUGAUUCGGCUGAUCUGGCUGGCUAGGCGGGUGUCCCUUUCCUCCCUCACCGCUCCAUGUGCGUCCCUCCCGAAGCUGUGCACUUGGUUGAAGAGGACGACCAUCCCCAAUAGAGGAGGACCGGUCUUCGGUCAAGGGUAUACAAGUAGCUGCGCUCCCCUGCUAGAACCUCCAAACAAGCUCUCAAGAAGAAAGCACUAAAAUUCUGGAAACAUUGUUAGUGGUUUGCGAUAGUAUUUUGAGAGCUGGGGAACUAAAUGUUUUGGUUGCAUCUCCUC
ensembl:misc_RNA RN7SKP180 RN7SK pseudogene 180